AAGGCCUGAUGUGUGUGAGAUUACCCGCUGAAUUUAAGCAUAUAAGUAAGCGGAGGAAAAGAAACUAACUAGGAUUCCCUUAGUAAUGGCGAAUGAACAGGGAUCAGCUCAGUGCCAAAUCGGAAUCACUUGUGGUUCUGAAAUGUGGCUUGAAGGCAGUACCAGUGGCAUCGCGGACGAAAGUCUCUUGGAAAAGAGCGUCAUAGAGGGUGAGAAUCCCGUGAGUCGUUCGCCGUUUGUCACGUACGGUCUGCGUUCUAACGAGUCGCGUUCCUUGGGGAUUGAGCGUAAACGGGUGGGUAAUUUUCAUCCAAGCAAAAUAUAUACUCGAGACCGAUAGCAA
rnacentral:ncRNA from 1 species